rnacentral:piRNA from 1 species
GAGUGUAGAUUCUUUACCCAGGAUGU